rnacentral:rRNA from 1 species
UACGUAGGGUGCAAGCGUUGUCCGGAAUCAUUGGGCGUAAAGCGCGUGUAGGCGGUCAUAUAAGUCUGUUGUGAAAGUCGGAGGCUCAACCUUCGAAAGCCGAUGGAUACUGGAUGGCUUGAGGUUGGGAGAGGGAUGCGGAAUUCCAGGUGUAGCGGUGAAAUGCGUAGAUAUCUGGAGGAACACCGGUGGCGAAGGCGGCAUCCUGGACCAAUUCUGACGCUGAGUGAGCGAAAGCCAGGGGAGCAAACGGG